GACGAACGCUGGCGGCGUGCCUAAUACAUGCAAGUCGAACGAACUCUGGUAUUGAUUGGUGCUUGCAUCAUGAUUUACAUUUGAGUGAGUGGCGAACCGGUGAGUAACACGUGGGAAACCUGCCCAGAAGCGGGGGAUAACACCUGGAAACAGAUGCUAAUACCGCAUAACAACUUGGACCGCAUGGUCCGAGUUUGAAAGAUGGCUUCGGCUAUCACUUUUGGAUGGUCCCGCGGCGUAUUAGCUAGAUGGUGAGGUAACGGCUCACCAUGGCAAUGAUACGUAGCCGACCUGAGAGGGUAAUCGGCCACAUUGGGACUGAGACACGGCCCAAACUCCUACGGGAGGCAGCAGUAGGGAAUCUUCCACAAUGGACGAAAGUCUGAUGGAGCAACGCCGCGUGAGUGAAGAAGGGUUUCGGCUCGUAAAACUCUGUUGUUAAAGAAGAACAUAUCUGAGAGUAACUGUUCAGGUAUUGACGGUAUUUAACCAGAAAGCCACGGCUAACUACGUGCCAGCAGCCGCGGUAAUACGUAGGUGGCAAGCGUUGUCCGGAUUUAUUGGGCGUAAAGCGAGCGCAGGCGGUUUUUUAAGUCUGAUGUGAAAGCCUUCGGCUCAACCGAAGAAGUGCAUCGGAAACUGGGAAACUUGAGUGCAGAAGAGGACAGUGGAACUCCAUGUGUAGCGGUGAAAUGCGUAGAUAUAUGGAAGAACACCAGUGGCGAAGGCGGCUGUCUGGUCUGUAACUGACGCUGAGGCUCGAAAGUAUGGGUAGCAAACAGGAUUAGAUACCCUGGUAGUCCAUACCGUAAACGAUGAAUGCUAAGUGUUGGAGGGUUUCCGCCCUUCAGUGCUGCAGCUAACGCAUUAAGCAUUCCGCCUGGGGAGUACGGCCGCAAGGCUGAAACUCAAAGGAAUUGACGGGGGCCCGCACAAGCGGUGGAGCAUGUGGUUUAAUUCGAAGCUACGCGAAGAACCUUACCAGGUCUUGACAUACUAUGCAAAUCUAAGAGAUUAGACGUUCCCUUCGGGGACAUGGAUACAGGUGGUGCAUGGUUGUCGUCAGCUCGUGUCGUGAGAUGUUGGGUUAAGUCCCGCAACGAGCGCAACCCUUAUUAUCAGUUGCCAGCAUUAAGUUGGGCACUCUGGUGAGACUGCCGGUGACAAACCGGAGGAAGGUGGGGAUGACGUCAAAUCAUCAUGCCCCUUAUGACCUGGGCUACACACGUGCUACAAUGGAUGGUACAACGAGUUGCGAACUCGCGAGAGUAAGCUAAUCUCUUAAAGCCAUUCUCAGUUCGGAUUGUAGGCUGCAACUCGCCUACAUGAAGUCGGAAUCGCUAGUAAUCGCGGAUCAGCAUGCCGCGGUGAAUACGUUCCCGGGCCUUGUACACACCGCCCGUCACACCAUGAGAGUUUGUAACACCCAAAGUCGGUGGGGUAACCUUUUAGGAACCAGCCGCCUAAGGUGGGACAGAUGAUUAGGGUG
rnacentral:rRNA from 1 species